CACGUAGGGGGCGAGCGUUGUCCGGAAUUACUGGGGCGUAAAGGGCGCGCAGGCUGUUAUGCGAGUCUGCUGUGAAAUGUACCGGCUCAACCGGUGCCUUGCGGCGGAUACUGCAUAGCUGGAGUACUGGAGAGGGAAGUGGAAUUCCCGGUGUAGCGGUGAAAUGCGUAGAGAUUAGGAAGAACACCAGUGGCGAAGGCGAUUCUCUGGACUGUAACUGACGCUGAGGCUCGAAAGCGUGGGGAGCAAACAGGAUUAGAUA
rnacentral:rRNA from 1 species